AUUUUUUUGAUUACACAGUGAUGUGCCCCACAGAUCUCCCUCACUGUGAGGCAAUCACUUCAUUUAUCCAAGUUCUACAAAGCCUUUAUUAUUUCGGUUAGUUCAUAUUUUUGAAGCUAAGUCAUCAGUUUGAUGCGUUUGUUGUAAAAUGUGGUUUAACAGCUUGUUAGCACAUUUAUUUUUUUUUUAAUGGAAUCCAAAGGUAUUUCAUGCUUGAGCAGCAGUGGAUUUAAGAGCCGAUGAAAAGCCCCGCGAGCUGGGCGCAGUCAGCACAAAACAAUGCGGGGAACAUUGUGGAGUCCUACGCAGAGCUACCCCCAGCAGUGGCGUGCGGGUUUCUUGAACUUUAAGUUACGUUUUUUGCUUUUCUUUUUCCCUGACAGUGUCUCAUAAAUAACCCAUGUUGCCUUAUGCGUGUUGGUUUCAGAUUGUCUAGGAUGUACUGGAUCAUUUGAGCAGUCUGCGUUCAUGUGGUUUUUCUCCCCUCUGAAGAUGAUUCGAUUCUGUUUUGUCCACAAAGGGGAGACGUGGAUUGCUGUUUUCUGUCCUCCAAGUGUGGCUUUGUAAAGCUGUCUCAGAACUAACGGGUUGGAACUGAAAACUAUUAUGGAGCUUGGUGAAUGUCAGCGAGCCUUUGAAAAGUAAAAGCUGGGAAGCGACAAACUCUUUCCACAGUUCCAUCCCAAAUACAAACGAGGUCAUUUUCUUGGGAGGCAGCAAAAGUGAGCAUUCUGUGUUUGACCAAAGACAACCUUUUGGUUGAGGUUUUGAUUAUCCAGGGAUGAAAUGGAGGCAAAUGGUCUUCUUUGCCUAAAUCCAGACCUACCUUUGUACCAGGCUAGGUAUUUGUUGGAUUGAAAGGAGUGCAGCCCUUGGAGAGCAGUUUCAUGGAACUGGAAUUGGAUCUUAAUAUUAUUGGGGAUGGCAAAGUACUUAACUGAAAUUCUACAUUUCACAGUCUCCCUUGCAGAUACAGAUGUGAUGACUAGAACUACAGUGAAAAUGUGAUGGUUAUGGUCAUGUGAUGUUGAUGGAAGCCAGUGUUAAGUAUGGUGAAGCUGAGAGAUCGACAAACAAAUAAGCAAAAAUCCUUGGGUUUCUGAAAAUCAUUGCUUGAUGUACCCCUGGGUUUAUUUUACAUGACAGAGAAAUAAACCUGCAUCUUGUUUAAGC
rnacentral:lncRNA from 1 species